AGUGGCGGGCGGGUGAGUAACGCGUGGGUAACCUGCCUCAUACAGGGGGAUAACAGUUAGAAAUGACUGCUAAUACCGCAUAAGACCACAGCACCGCAUGGUGCAGGGGUAAAAACUCCGGUGGUAUGAGAUGGACCCGCGUCUGAUUAGGUAGUUGGUGGGGUAACGGCCUACCAAGCCGACGAUCAGUAGCCACCUGAGAGGGUGACCGGCCACAUUGGGACUGAGACACGGCCCAA
rnacentral:rRNA from 1 species